CCAGCCAUGCCGCGUGAGUGAAGAAGGCCUUCGGGUUGUAAAGCUCUUUAGAGCGAAGAUGAUGACGGUAACAUCAGAAGAAGCCCCGGCUAAUUUCGUGCCAGCAGCCGCGGUAAUACGAAAGGGGCUAGCGUUGUUCGGAUUUACUGGGCGUAAAGGGCACGCAGGCGGUCUUGCCAGUCAGGGGUGAAAGCCCGGGGCUCAACCCCGGAACUGCCUCUGAUACUGCAAGACUAGAGACUAGGAGAGGGUGGUGGAAUUCCCAGUGUAGAGGUGAAAUUCGUAGAUAUUGGGAGGAACACCAGAGGCGAAGGCGGCCACCUGGACUAGAUCUGACGCUCAGGUGCGAAAGCGUGGGGAGCAAACAGGAUUAGAUACCCUGGUAGUCCACGCCGUUUUUUUAUGAGUGCUAGUUGUCGGGACUUCGGUUUCGGUGACGCAGCUAACGCAUUAAGCACUCCGCCUGGGGAGUACGGUCGCAAGAUUAAAACUCAAAUGAUUUGACGGGAAGUGGGGGGGAGGGGGGGGGU
rnacentral:rRNA from 1 species